rnacentral:rRNA from 1 species
GAUGAACGCUGGCGGCGUGCCUAAUACAUGCAAGUCGAGCGAACAGACGAGGAGCUUGCUCCUCUGACGUUAGCGGCGGACGGGUGAGUAACACGUGGAUAACCUACCUAUAAGACUGGGAUAACUUCGGGAAACCGGAGCUAAUACCGGCUAACAUGUUGAACCGCAUGGUUUAACAGUGAAAGACAGUCUUGCUGUCACUUUUAGAUGGAUCCGCGCCGCAUUAGCUAGUUGGUAAGGUAACGGCUUACCAAGGCAACGAUGCGUAGCCGACCUGAGAGGGUGAUCGGCCACACUGGAACUGAGACACGGUCCAGACUCCUACGGGAGGCAGCAGUAGGGAAUCUUCCGCAAUGGGCGAAAGCCUGACGGAGCAACGCCGCGUGAGUGAAGAAGGUCUUCGGAUCGUAAAACUCUGUUAUUAGGGAAGAACAAAUGUGUAAGUAACUAUGCACGUCUUGACGGUACCUAAUCAGAAAGCCACGGCUAACUACGUG